GUGGCAUUAGAAAAAAAUAUUUUGAUAUGGCUUUCAAAGUGAUGACUUUUUUUCUUAUGAUCAUGGUGAUAAAAAUUUGUGAAGUUACACAUUCAUUAGAGGGAGGGAGAAGAAGUAGGCGAAAGAUUGUUUUUUUUAGGAUUAGAAUUACUCAUGUGUUUCACCAGACGUUGAGGCAAGAGACGUCAAAUUAUGUUGUUUUUGUGAGAAAGAUGAAGAUUGUAAGAGUUUUUGCCAUAAACCUCCUUAUCGUUGUGCACUCCAUGUAUGUGCUUGCUCAAAAUAUACGUUUUCGAAAAUUGGAUUGCAAAACUUAAUAGGGGUAUGAAGAAUGAA